UACGGAGGAUGCAAGCGUUAUCCGGAAUGAUUGGGCGUAAAGCGUCCGCAGGUGGCAAUGUAAGUCUGCUGUCAAAGCGUCUGGCUCAACCAGAUAAAGGCAGUGGAAACUACAUAGCUAGAGUAAGGUAGGGGUAGAGGGAAUUCCUGGUGUAGCGGUGAAAUGCGUAGAGAUCAGGAGGAACACCGGUGGCGAAGGCGGUUCUCUGGGCAUGAUCUGACGCUGAGGAGCGAAAGUGUGGGGAGCGAACAGG
rnacentral:rRNA from 1 species